rnacentral:rRNA from 1 species
CAGUCGCCGCGGUAAUACGAAGGGGGCUAGCGUUGUUCGGAUUUACUGGGCGUAAAGGGCGCGUAGGCGGGCGAAUAAGUCAGGGGUGAAAUCCCAAGGCUCAACCUUGGAACUGCCUUUGAUACUGUUUGUCUUGAGUUCGAGAGAGGUAAGUGGAACUGCGAGUGUAGAGGUGAAAUUCGUAGAUAUUCGCAAGAACACCAGUGGCGAAGGCGGCUCACUGGCCCGUAACUGACGCUGAGGCGCGAAAGCGUGGGGAGCAAACAGGAUUAGAUACCCGAGUAGUCCCUGUCUCUUAUAC